GUAUGAUGAUGAAACCCAUGCGUGUCAACUGACUCUGGAAGCUUUGUGGUGUGUUGUGACUCUGGCUGACGUUUUGCCGGCCAAAGUUUGCUACCCGCCAAGAAUCCUGAGAUAUGAUCAUACUCACUUCUGAAUAC